UACGUAGGGGGCAAGCGUUGUCCGGAAUUAUUGGGCGUAAAGCGCGCGUAGGCGGCCCGGUAAGUCCGUUGUGAAAGUCAAAGGCUCAACCUUUGAACGCCGAUGGAUACUGCCGGGCUAGAGUCCGGAAGAGGCGAGUGGAAUUCCUGGUGUAGCGGUGGAAUGCGCAGAUAUCAGGAGGAACACCAAUAGCGAAGGCAGCUCGCUGGGACGGUACUGACGCUGAGGCGCGAAAGCGUGGGGAGCGAACAGG
rnacentral:rRNA from 1 species